GGCGCGCAAUUACCCAAUCCCGACUCGGGGAGGUAGUGACAAUAAAUACUGAUACAGGGCUCUUUUGGGUCUUGUAAUUGGAAUGAGUACAAUUUAAAUCCCUUAACGAGGAACAAUUGGAGGGCAAGUCUGGUGCCAGCAGCCGCGGUAAUUCCAGCUCCAAUAGCGUAUAUUAAAGUUGUUGUGGUUAAAAAGCUCGUAGUUGAACCUUGGGCCUGGCUGGCCGGUCCGCCUCACCGCGUGUACUGGUCCGGCCGGGCCUUUCCCUCUGUGGAACCCCAUGCCCUUCACUGGGUGUGGCGGGGAAACAGGACUUUUACUUUGAAAAAAUUAGAGUGCUCCAGGCAGGCCUAUGCUCGAAUACAUUAGCAUGGAAUAAUAAAAUAGGACGUGUGGUUCUAUUUUGUUGGUUUCUAGGACCGCCGCAAUGAUUAAUAGGGACAGUCGGGGGCAUCAGUAUUCAAUUGUCAGAGGUGAAAUUCUUGGAUUUAUUGAAGACUAACUACUGCGAAAGCAUUUGCCAAGGAUGUUUUCAUUAAUCAGGAACGAAAGUUAGGGGAUCGAAGACGAUCAGAUACCGUCGUAGUCUUAACCAUAAACUAUGCCGACUAGGGAUCGGACGAUGUUAUUAUUUGACUCGUUCGGCACCUUACGAGAAAUCAAAGU
rnacentral:rRNA from 1 species